rnacentral:misc_RNA from 1 species
AAAUAAACCACUUUCUAUGAAAAAUAACAUUAACCUUGGAACAAAAUUUUGUAGACAACUUCACAGUAUUUCGGCAAAUACAACACGAUUAAACUGCAUCUUAAGCUAGUGAAAAUGGAAUAAAUUUCACUUGAUGCUAAUGAAAAUCAACAAAACCUACAAUAUCAAACAUAGCAGGGAACAGUUUGGGUCCAAAGAGUUGCAUUUUGAAUACUUGACAAUUCUCAACUUACCCAACAAAAUAUGCUUUCAGACGUUUUUCAAAUCUUUGAUUUGCUUAAACACGAUACGUGAUAAAUAUUGGAUUUUGAUAUCACUAUACCGUGUUCUGGGAUGAUAGGAGGCGAGUGAAUUAGGUAACUAUGGACUAUACAUUCAACACUCUUUGAAGGUCACCAGUGAGAUCAUCCAGAUCAAUGACUUCUUUCCGAGUUGUUUUUUCCAUCCUCAUCUUGUUGAGCUCUAAUUUCAAUUCCGAAAUCUGCUUUUCCAAUUUUGCUCCUUGGUCUGGUAAUCUUGAAACUGUAACCUUAUUCCCAAGUAAUUGUGACAAACGUUUGAUUCUCUCUUUGAUUUCAGAUUCUGUCAGUUUGCCAACACUAUCUGGGGAAGAACUUUUCUUAUUCAGUUUUACAUCCUUCGGAUUGAAAGCAUGCACAGCCCCGUCAACAUUGUGCUCAAUUGAAUAACUUGAAGAACUUCCAACAAAUGCAUUUCUUUUUCUCCUUAUCUCUUCCUCUUCUAUAUUUACAACUUGUAAACGAGCUGUUUUGGAGAAUAGCAAACUGUGGUGACUAACACCCGCUAUGCCUAGACUCUCCAGGAAGUUCACAUGGCCUUCCAAAAACUCAUCCAUCUUGUACUGGUGGUCAUGUUCUUCAUGUAAUUGCUGUUGCGUGAGGGAAAUAUCAAACCCCUGCUUUGGGAGGCUGAAUAGUUCCCGAAGGUCCUGCUGGCUAAAGUACCGAAUCUGUUCCUUGUGUUCAGUUGCAGUUUUAAACAAUCCCCCUUUGAAUAUCUGCUUUCUAUAUAUCUUUUCUUCAACUGUUCCACAUGUCAUUAAUCUAUACACAAGGACAUCUUUCUUUUGCCCAAUUCGAUAUGCACGAUCAACACUUUGGUUAUCCGUGCUUGGAUUCCAUGCAGGAUCAACCACAAUGACACGGUCAGCUUUUGUAAGCGUAAGGCCAACACCACCAACUUGAGAUGUAAGGAGGAAUAUAGGGGCCCCAAAACCUUCUUGGAAAUCAUUAACAAUUUUCACUCUGUCGCUAGCUUUAGUGGUUCCAUCAAUGCGUAAGAAUUUGUAACCAUUAGACAGUAGGGAUUCCUGAAUUAGAUUAAGCAUCUUGCGUGUUUGAGAGAAGAUAAGAAUAUUAUGCCCCUUCGGAAUUAAAUCAUCCAAUAGUGACAACAUAAAAGAUAUCUUGCACGAAAUAUUGUCGUGCUUCUCUUGAAAUUCAACUCUUUCAGCUACAUCAGCAACAUGCAUUGCCAACUUUUCUGCUACACCAGCAUCCUCUGGAUCUAGCAUUGAAUCCAUUCCUUCUAGCACAUCCUCAGCAGCUCUUUUUGUCAAAAGAAGUGGGUGAUCACAUAUUUUCUUCAGAAUCGUUAAUGCAGCCAAUGGUGAGCCAUCAAAAGCGGAUAAAACCAGCUCACUUUGCAAAAAGGCUUCAUACAAUUGUCGCUGACAGCAGGUAAGUCUUAGCCACACAAUCAUCUCGUUCUUUUUCGACAGUGUAGCAGUUGCAGAAUCAUCUUCUUUAAAUACUUCAUUCUUCAAACGACGUAAAAAAUAAGGUUGAAUGCGUUCUCUUAGCUCCUUUGCAACAGUCGAACCAAUAUGCUUGUCCCUAGCAGAAGCACUCUUAUCAUUUCCAUGGAGGAUGGGAUGCUCAUAAUGUUCUUUAAACCAUUUAUAGUCACCAAGCAGAGCGGGGCAACAAAAGUUGAACAAAGUCCACAUUUCCUUAAGGUUGUUUUGAAUAGGGGUUCCACUAAUGAUAAUACGAUGAGCACUUGGUAUUUCAAGCAAACUUUUUGCCCUCUGUGUGCUAGGAUUUUUUAUGAGAUGCCCCUCAUCAAGAAUCAUGUAAUCCCAUGUGUAACCAUCCUCACUUUCCUCAUCAGCAUAGCCAUCUCCUCUCAAUGAUUUUGCAUUGUUCCGCACUAUAUCAUAAGUUGUAAGGAGAAUGCCUUUGUCAUUAUUUACUCUGGUUGGAAUUCAGUUGUAUCAACAAGGAAAACACUAGUGGAACCUGAAGUAUAUAUUGCAGCUCAUAUUGUCGAGCUUUAGAAGAGGUUCCAAAGUAUCUACAUGGAAGCACAGUGAAAAUCAGUAUACAUCAACAAGCAACUUUUCUUCAACCUUUUGUUGUAAGAGCUUCAGUUAAACAGCCUUACUCUCUAGUUUCCCCAGAAAGACCAACAGUGGAUAGUUCUUUGAUCCAAUGAGAAAGUAGUGUUUUAGGGGCCACAACCAAUGCCCUUUUAAUUAACCUCGAAUGAAACAAUCCAGCUAGAAAGCCACAAAUCUGCAUCGUUUUCCCCAGACCCAUAUCAUCUCCUAAGAUUCCACCCUUACCCUGAUAGUGCAAAGACCACAGCCACUUUAACCCAUCACGCUGAUGUGGAUACAACAUUUUUGCAAUUUUACUUGGUAGUUCAUAUGUCGAUCUUGGACCAGCCAAAGUAAAGGAGCUUUCAUCCUCCAAAACUGAAUUAUUUGUAUAAUCAUCCAACAAAUCAAUAGCACUAGAGUGAUCAGAUGACUCCUUGUACUUACCAACGUGCCUCCCAGCUCCUUCAACCACCUUUUUGCCACUCAAAACCAAACAAUCAUCCUCAUCCUCUUCUUCUUCACUAAGAAUAGGCACAAAAGAUGGCCCUGCAGACCUUAAUCUCCCUUGCACCCUUCUGGAUUCAAUUUUCUCCUGUCUUUUAGUACUUUUCUUAGUUUUCCACUCCCCAGUGGCAUGGGUAUCAUCCUCAGACUCACUUCUUAAAUCAUUUUCCUCAUCUUCUUCACCAUUAGACAUAUAAGAGUUUCCCCCAGCCGCCAAUUUGCCACCCACCUGUUCAUAUUCAUUCUCGAUUAGCCCCCUACUAUAUUUGUUGGCCUUACGCAAUUUAUCAACAAAAGAAUCACCUCUGGCCCUCAACAAAUGAACCUCAUCAUAAUCAUCCACAGCACUCUCAAUACAACCACCAACAAUCUUAUUCACUUCAAAUGAAGAAUCAGAUGGAUCAGAAGUACCAGAAAAUGAAGAGUCAGCACUUGCAUAUUCAGGCACAUCAACUUUCUUCUCUCUAUCUCCACCUCCAACCAAUUUCGAAUAUUCAUCAGCCACAUUGACCUUGUGAAUGUCUCUCUUUUUCUCAAUUGACAAAAGGUCAAGCCUGGAGCUCAAAUCAUUGAGAAUAUCCCUGAUUUCAUUGGCAGGCUGAUUACUGUUAUCAACAGCCGUAGCUUUAGAUGGAAGAGGUGAAUCAACAUCAGUAAUAUCAAAGAAACUAGGUUCAUUGAGCACAGGAGCUACGCGCCCACCAUUUUCCUUGCCUGGAGAUGAGACUUUGCAAAGCCGACGUCUCCCUUCAAUCUUAACCUUUGUCUGCUUUUCUUCAGAUGAAGGAUCAAAAUCAGUGAUUCCAGAGAACUGAGGAAUCUGAUCAUCAUCAUCAACAACAAGCUGGGUCUCCAUAGCCGAUGCUUUGCAGAGACGACGUCGUCCUCCGAGAUUCAUACUCUCUUCUUCAUCUUCGAAGGAAGAUUGAUUCUUCGGAGGAGCAGAGAGGUCUUGGAGAAAACGAUAAUGGCUAUCGUUUAAGCUUACUGGUUUCCUGUUACUUUUCUUGGAAUCAGCCAUUUCUGUUUAACAGAGCAUUAGAGAAUAGAUUUGGGUUUUAUUUUGGUCGUGGAGUUAUUGGAAUUUUCCCGCUUAUUUGAAAUUUGAUUUUGCAUUGGCUUUUGGAAUUUGUAAUAAUCGCCUAGGCCAUUGGGUUUACGGGUGAAUUGCCU